rnacentral:rRNA from 1 species
UAAAAUGGGAGGUAAAUUUCUCCUAAGGCUAAAUAACGGCGAGAGACCGAUAGCGAACAAGUACCGUGAGGGAAAGAUGAAAAGAACUUUGAAAAGAGAGUUAAACAGUACGUGAAAUUGUUGAAAGGGAAACGAUUGAAGCCAGUCGUACCUGCGGAUAAUCAACCUUUAGAUGCAAUUUUGUGGAGUGUGAGGAGCUAAUCGCCUUCAUGCCUGUAUAUUCGUGUACUUGGGGUGUACUUAUUCGUGAGGUAAGUUAACAUCAAUUUUGGUGGUCAUAAAAUGACUGGAGGAAUGUAGCUUCGAUCUCGUAUUGAAGUGUUAUAGCCUUCGGUAGAUGUGAUGAUCGAGAUUGAGGAUUGCAACGGAUACCCUUCGGGGCUACCUGUCUGGUCUCUGAUCGUUGCUCUGGUGCCGAAAGCUUGCUUACGGUUAUCAAAGUCGAUGGUCAAUAGGUUAGAACGGGUUAA